UCAAGUUAUGAAGGGCUCAUGGUGGAUGCCUUGGCGCCAGAAGGCGAUGAAGGACGUGGUCAGCUGCGAUAAGCCUCGGGGAGCUGCAAACAAGCUUCGAUCCGGGGAUUUCCGAAUGGGGCAACCUGCUGCGGGUCAUGCCGCAGCACCUGCAGCCCAAAACCAUUAAGCUGCAGGGGUCAUACCCGGGGAACUGAAACAUCUUAGUACCCGGAGGAAAAGAAAGCAACAUGCGAUUCCCUAAGUAGCGGCGAGCGAACGGGGAGGAGCCCAAACCGGGCCGGUGUAUGAGCUUACCGGCGCUGCUGGUCCGGGGUUGUGGGGCCGGUUUUUAAGGCGGGCGGUAACCUGCCUUUAAGAGUGAUCAACCGUUUUGGUAGGCGAAGACGCCUGGAAAGGCGCACCGCAGAAGGUAACAGUCCUGUAGCCGAAACUGAAGCGGCUCUUAGAACCGGUUCCCGAGUAGCACGGGGCACGAGGAAUCCCGUGUGAACCAGGGAGGACCACCUUCCAAGGCUAAAUACUAGCUGGCGACCGAUAGCGGAUAGUACCGUGAGGGAAAGGUGAAAAGCACCCCGGGAGGGGAGUGAAAUAGAACCUGAAACCAUGAGCUUACAAGCAGUCAGAGUCCUAUAUCCAGCACUCAACUGUUUCUAUUCAACAUUACUCGAAGGCGAAGAAGUUGCAUGCCGGUAAAGCGGCUGGAAGCAGUUGAGGGGAUAUGUCAAAGCAUCGGCAGAGCUGUUUUUUAAGGAGUAGAAACAGUUGAGUGCUGGAUGGGAUGAUGGCGUACUUUUUGUAGAACGGGCCGGCGAGUUACGGUCGGUAGCGAGGUUAAGGGAUUAUGUCCUGGAGCCGCAGCGAAAGCGAGUCUUAACAGGGCGUUUAGUUACCGGCUGUAGACCCGAAACCGGGUGAUCUACCCAUGGCCAGGGUGAAGCUCGGGUGAUGCCGAGUGGAGGCCCGCACCCACCGAUGUUAAAAAAUCGGGGGAUGAGCUGUGGGUAGGGGUGAAAAGCCAACCGAACCCGGAGAUAGCUGGUUCUCCCCGAAAUAGCUUUAGGGCUAGCCUCGGGGGUUCAGUUGCGGAGGUAGAGCACUGACUGGGCUAGGGGCCCAACAAGGUUACCGAACUCACUCAAACUCCGAAUGCCGCAACUUCAUACCCCGGGAGUCAGACUGCGGGUGAUAAGAUUCGUGGUCGAAAGGGAAACAGCCCAGACCGUCGGCUAAGGUCCCCAAGUGCAGGCUCAGUGGGAAAGGAUGUGGAGCUGCCCGGACAACCAGGAUGUUGGCUUAGAAGCAGCCACCAUUUAAAGAGUGCGUAAUAGCUCACUGGUCAAGUGGUUCUGCGCCGAAAAUGUAACGGGGCUAAGCCUGCCACCGAAGCCACGGCUUCAAGAGGCAAGAUGCCAGAGGCAAGAGACAAGACACACUUUGGAAUCUUUGCGAGAAUAAUCUUGAUUCCUGUCUCUUAUUUCUUGCAUCUUGCUUCUGGUAUCUUGCCUCUUGGGGGGUAGGGGAGCGUUCUGCAUGCGUUGAAGCUGUACCGGAAGGAGCGGUGGAGCGUGCAGAAGUGAGAAUGCCGGCAUGAGUAACGAUAAGACAGGUGAGAAUCCUGUCCGCCGCAAGCCUAAGGUUUCCUGAGGAAGGUUCGUCCGCUCAGGGUAAGCCGGGACCUAAGCCGAGGCCGGAUGGCGUAGGCGAUGGACAACUGGUGGAAAUUCCAGUGCCACCUGGAGACCGCUAUGAGCGAUGGGGUGACGCAGGAGGGUAGGCGCAGCGCACCGUUGGUUGAGUGCGUCCAAGCGUGUAGGGAGAGCCGGCAGGCAAAUCCGCCGGCUUGCCAAUCCCGAGGCGCGAUGGGGAGCGAAAAUUUUAAGUAGCGAACUGGCUGAUCCCAUGCUGCCGAGAAAAGCCUCUAGCCAGGUCUUUGGGUGCCCGUACCGUAAACCGACACAGGUAGGCGGGGAGAGUAUCCUCAGGCGCGCGGGAAAACCCUCGUUAAGGAACUCGGCAAAUUGACCCCGUAACUUUGGGAGAAGGGGUGCCCCGGUAGGGUGAGCACUUUUGCGGUGCAAGCCCGAGGGGGCCGCAGUGAAUAGGCCCAAGCGACUGUUUAUCAAAAACACAGGUCUCUGCGAAGUCGAAAGACGAUGUAUAGGGACUGACGCCUGCCCAGUGCUGGAAGGUUAAGGAAAAGGGUUAUUCAGCACUUUAAGCUUAGUCUUAAGUGCUGAAGAAGCUCUGAACCUAAGCCCCAGUAAACGGCGGCCGUAACUAUAACGGUCCUAAGGUAGCGAAAUUCCUUGUCGGGUAAGUUCCGACCCGCACGAAAGGCGUAACGACUUGGGCGCUGUCUCGACGAGGGACCCGGUGAAAUUGAAUUGCCCGUGAAGAUGCGGGCUACCCACGACAAGACGGUAAGACCCCGUGGAGCUUUACUGUAGCCUGAUAUUGGGUCUUGGUGUUAAAUGUACAGGAUAGGUGGGAGGCUUCGAAGCCGGGGCGCCAGCUUCGGUGGAGCCGUCCUUGGGAUACCACCCUUUUAAGAUCGGGAUUCUAACCUGGGGCCGUGAACCGGUCCGGGGACAGUGUCAGGUGGGCAGUUUGACUGGGGCGGUCGCCUCCUAAAAGGUAACGGAGGCGCCCAAAGGUUCCCUCAGCGCGGUUGGGAAUCGCGCGCAGAGUGUAAAGGCACAAGGGAGCUUAACUGUAAGAGAGACAUCUCGAGCAGGGUCGAAAGACGGGCUUAGCGAUCCGGCGGUUCCGAGUGGAAGGGCCGUCGCUCAACGGAUAAAAGCUACCCCGGGGAUAACAGGCUUAUCUCCCCCAAGAGUCCACAUCGACGGGGAGGUUUGGCACCUCGAUGUCGGCUCAUCGCAUCCUGGGGCUGGAGAAGGUCCCAAGGGUUGGGCUGUUCGCCCAUUAAAGCGGUACGUGAGCUGGGUUCAGAACGUCGCGAGACAGUUCGGUCCCUAUCUGUCGUGGGCGCAGGAAACUUGAGAGGGGCUGCCCCUAGUACGAGAGGACCGGGGUGGACGGACCGAUGGUGUACCAGUUGUCCCGCCAGGGGCACAGCUGGGUAGCUAUGUCCGGAAAGGAUAAGCGCUGAAAGCAUCUAAGCGCGAAGCCUGCCUCAAGAUAAGGUUUCCCACCCGGCACUGCGGUGCCGGGGUAAGACCCCAGGAAGAUGACCUGGUUGAUAGGCCGGGAGUGUAAGGGCAGCAAUGCCUUUAGCGGACCGGUACUAAUCGGUCGAGGACUUGAUCUG
rnacentral:rRNA from 1 species